rnacentral:rRNA from 1 species
UACGAGGGCAGCAAGCGUUGUUCGGAGUUACUGGGCGUAAAGCGUGCGCAGGCGGCUUCUCAAGUCAGGGGUGAAAGCCCAGAGCUCAACUCUGGAAUUGCCUUUGAGACUGAGUGGCUUGAGUACGAGAGAGGUGAGUGGAAUUCCCAGUGUAGAGGUGAAAUUCGUAGAUAUUGGGAAGAACACCGGUGGCGAAGGCGGCUCACUGGCUCGUAACUGACGCUCAUGCACGACAGCGUGGGGGAGCAAACAGG